GACGAACGCUGGCGGCGUGCUUAACACAUGCAAGUCGAACGAUGAAGCCCUUUCGGGGUGGAUUAGUGGCGAACGGGUGAGUAACACGUGGGCAAUCUGCCCUGUACUUUGGGAUAAGCCUUGGAAACGAGGUCUAAUACCGGAUAUGAUGAGUCCUCGCAUGGGGGUUUGGUUNAAAGUUCCGGCGGUACAGGAUGAGCCCGCGGCCUAUCAGCUUGUUGGUGGGGUAAUGCCUACCAAGGCGACGACGGGUAGGCCGGCCUGAGAGGGCGGACCGGCCACACUGGGACGUGAGACACGGCCCAGACUCCUACGGGAGGGCAGCAGUGGGGAAGUAUUGCACAAUGGGCGAAAGCCUGAUGCAGCGACGCCGCGUGAGGGAUNACGGCC
rnacentral:rRNA from 1 species